CGUCCACCGAACGGCCGGCAGGCGAUCCGCGUCGGUCGCGCGGGGUGGUAUGGUUCCCCAGAGGCUGGUUCUUGUGUUGCCUGCCCUUAAGAGGGAAGCACGCCUCCUGACGGUUGAAAGCCUCCAUCCGGCGCCCUCCAACGGGCGCAGGAGGACAACGUAGCACCCCCCGUGUUCCACCGAACCCUCGCCGGUCGCGUGGCCCGCGGGGGCGUGCGGCGCUCUCGGACCCAGCGCACGCCGUGGGCGAGGACUCACGUCCCGGUCCCAAGAGAACCUCGAUGCAACGAAUGACGGCCGCUCCCGCCCCCCCCACCGCCCCGGCGGCGCGGGGGCGAGGCGCGGCGUCGCGGAGGAAUGCUACCUGGUGAUC
rnacentral:misc_RNA from 1 species